rnacentral:rRNA from 1 species
UACGUAGGGGGCUAGCGUUGUCCGGACUCAUUGGGCGUAAAGAGCGUGUAGGCGGUCCGGUAAGUCCGUUGUGAAAGUCAGGGGCUCAACCCUUGAAUGCCGGCGGAUACUGUCGGGCUAGAGUCCGGAAGAGGCGAGUGGAAUUCCCGGUGUAGCGGUGAAAUGCGCAGAUAUCGGGAGGAACACCUAUGGCGAAGGCAGCUCGCUGGGACGGUACUGACGCUGAGGUGCGAAAGCAUGGGGAGCGAACAGG